rnacentral:rRNA from 1 species
AGAGUGCGUAACAGCUCACUGGUCUAGUGGUUCCGCGCCGACAAUGUAGCGGGGCUCAAGCACACCACCGAAGACGCGGCAGUAUUUUGUACUGGGUAGGAGAGCGUCCCAUGAGGGGCGAAGCGGCCGUGUGAACGCGCCGUGGACUUCAUGGGAGUGAGAAUGCAGACAUGAGUAGCGAGAGACGGGUGAAGAUCCCGUCCGCUGGAUGACCAAGGGUUCCAGGGCCACGUUCAUCGUCCCUGGGUGAGUCGGGUCCUAAGGCGAGGCCGACAGGCGUAGUCGAAUGGAUGAACGGGUCGAUAUUCCCGUACCGGCUUUCAGCCGCCAAAACCGAGGCUUGGAGUACUAACCUCCGGGUCCGGGCUUACUGCUCCUUCGGGGGCGGGAUGCCCUGGCCUGUUGGGACCGAUCCUUGUAGUAGGUCAGCGCAGGAGUGACGCAGAAGGGUAGCCGGCCGCGGAGGUGGUCUUCCGUGGUCAAGCACGCAGGGCGUGGGACAGGCAAAUCCGUCCCGCAUGGGUCCGAGGUGCGAUGAUGGGGGCCUUAUGGCCCGAUAUCCGGUGAUCCCGGCUGCCGAGAAAAGCUUCGGCGUCAGGCUCGAAGCCGCCCGUACCCCAAACCGACACUGGUGGUCAGGUAGAGAAUACCAAAGCGAUCGAGCGAAUCCUGGUCAAGGAACUCGGCAAAUCACUCCCGUUCCUUCGGUUUAAGGGAGACCCCCGAUGGUGAACACACUUGCUGUGGGAGCUUUUGGGGGUGGCACAGACCAGGGGGUAGCGACUGUUUACCAAAAACACAGGUGCAUGCGAAGGCGCAAGCCGCUGUAUAUGCACUGACGCCUGCCCGGUGCCGGAAGGUUAAGAGGAUCCGUCAGCCUUCGGGUGAAGCGGUGAAUUCAAGCCCCGGUAAACGGCGGUGGUAACUAUAACCAUCCUAAGGUAGCGAAAUUCCUUGUCGGGUAAGUUCCGACCUGCACGAAUGGCGUAACGACUUCCCCACUGUCUCGACCAGGAGCUCGGCGAAAUUGCAGUACGAGUAAAGAUGCUCGUUAAGCGCAGAAGGACGAAAAGACCCCGGGACCUUUACUAUACCUUGGUAUUGGCAUUCGGUGUGGAUUGUGUAGCAUAGGCGGGAGGCCGAGAGGCGCGGUCGCCAGAUCGCGCGGAGCCGUAAGGUGAAAUACCGCUCUGUUCGCAUUGGAUGUCUAACCUCGAACAGUCAUCCUGUUCAGGGACAGUGCCUGGCGGGUAGUUUAACUGGGGCGGUUGCCUCCCAAAGAGUAACGGAGGCGCCCAAAGGUCCGCUCAGCCCGGUUGGCAAUCGGGUGGCGAGUGCAAGUGCACAAGCGGGCUUGACUGCGAGGACGACGGUCCGAGCAGGGACGAAAGUCGGGACUAGUGAUCCGGUGCCGGUGUACGGACGCGGCAUCGCUCAACGGAUAAAAGGUACCCCGGGGAUAACAGGCUGAUCAUUCCCAAGAGUCCAUAUCGACGGGAUGGUUUGGCACCUCGAUGUCGGCUCGUCGCAUCCUGGGGCUGGAGCAGGUCCCAAGGGUUCGGCUGUUCGCCGAUUAAAGCGGCACGCGAGCUGGGUUCAGAACGUCGUGAGACAGUUUGGUCUCUAUCCUCUGCGCUCGUUGGAAUGCUGAGGAGGCCUGCCCAUAGUACGAGAGGACCUGGGUGGACGAACCUCUGGUAUGCCGGUUGUCACGCCAGUGGCACGGCCGGUUGGCUACGUUCGGAAGGGAUAACCGCUGAAAGCAUCUAAGCGGGAAGCCUGCUCCAAGAUAAGCAUUCCGUGGAACCUUCGAGUUCCUGUAGUCCCCAUGCAGAACACGUGGUCGAUAGGCCGGACGUGGAAGCCCCGCGAGGGGUGGAGCCGACCGGUACUAACGGACGAAAGGCAACACU